rnacentral:rRNA from 1 species
UACGGAGGGUGCAAGCGUUAAUCGGAAUUACUGGGCGUAAAGCGCACGCAGGCGGUCUGUCAAGUCGGAUGUGAAAUCCCCGGGCUCAACCUGGGAACUGCAUUCGAAACUGGCAGGCUUGAGUCUCGUAGAGGGGGGUAGAAUUCCAGGUGUAGCGGUGAAAUGCGUAGAGAUCUGGAGGAAUACCGGUGGCGAAGGCGGCCCCCUGGACGAAGACUGACGCUCAGGUGCGAAAGCGUGGGGAGCAAACAGG